rnacentral:tRNA from 29 species
GGAGGGGUGUCCGAGUGGUUUAAGGUGGCAGACUCGAAAUCUGUUAUGGUGUCAAAGCCAUCGGGGGUUCGAAUCCCCCCCUCUCCG